UUAAGCGACUAAGCGUACACGGUGGAUGCCCUGGCAGUCAGAGGCGAUGAAGGACGUGCUAAUCUGCGAAAAGCGCCGGCGAGGUGAUAUGAACCCUUGACCCGGCGAUGUCCGAAUGGGGAAACCCAGUGUGUUCCGACACACUAUCGUUAACUGAAUACAUAGGUUAACGAGGCGAACCGGGGGAACUGAAACAUCUAAGUACCCCGAGGAAAAGAAAUCAACCGAGAUUCCCCCAGUAGCGGCGAGCGAACGGGGAGCAGCCCGGAGUCUGAAUCAGCUUGUGUGUUAGUGGAACGGUCUGGAAAGUCCGACGGUACAGGGUGAUAGUCCCGUACACGAAAAUGCACAGGUUGUGAACUCGAAGAGUAGGGCGGGACACGUGGUAUCCUGUCUGAAUAUGGGGGGACCAUCCUCCAAGGCUAAAUACUCCUGACUGACCGAUAGUGAACCAGUACCGUGAGGGAAAGGCGAAAAGAACCCCGGCGAGGGGAGUGAAAAAGAACCUGAAACCGUGUACGUACAAGCAGUGGGAGCACCUUCGGGUGUGACUGCGUACCUUUUGUAUAAUGGGUCAGCGACUUAUAUUCUGUAGCAAGGUUAACCGUAUAGGGGAGCCGAAGGGAAACCGAGUCUUAACUGGGCGUUAAGUUGCAGGGUAUAGACCCGAAACCCGGUGAUCUAGCCAUGGGCAGGUUGAAGGUUGGGUAACACUAACUGGAGGACCGAACCGACUAAUGUUGAAAAAUUAGCGGAUGACCUGUGGCUGGGGGUGAAAGGCCAAUCAAACCGGGAGAUAGCUGGUUCUCCCCGAAAGCUAUUUAGGUAGCGCCUCGUGAACUCAUCUUCGGGGGUAGAGCACUGUUUCGGCUAGGGGGCCAUCCCGGCUUACCAACCCGAUGCAAACUACGAAUACCGAAGAAUGUUAUCACGGGAGACACACGGCGGGUGCUAACGUCCGUCGUGAAGAGGGAAACAACCCAGACCGCCAGCUAAGGUCCCAAAGUCAUGGUUAAGUGGGAAACGAUGUGGGAAGGCACAGACAGCCAGGAUGUUGGCUUAGAAGCAGCCAUCAUUUAAAGAAAGCGUAAUAGCUCACUGGUCGAGUCGGCCUGCGCGGAAGAUGUAACGGGGCUAAACCAUGCACCGAAGCUGCGGCAGCGACGCUUAUGCGUUGUUGGGUAGGGGAGCGUUCUGUAAGCCGUUGAAGGUGUGCUGUGAGGCAUGCUGGAGGUAUCAGAAGUGCGAAUGCUGACAUAAGUAACGAUAAAGCGGGUGAAAAGCCCGCUCGCCGGAAGACCAAGGGUUCCUGUCCAACGUUAAUCGGGGCAGGGUGAGUCGACCCCUAAGGCGAGGCCGAAAGGCGUAGUCGAUGGGAAACAGGUUAAUAUUCCUGUACUUGGUGUUACUGCGAAGGGGGGACGGAGAAGGCUAUGUCAGCCGGGCGACGGUUGUCCCGGUUUAAGCAUGUAGGCGGAGGUUCCAGGUAAAUCCGGUACCUUAUUAACGCUGAGGUGUGAUGACGAGGCACUACGGUGCUGAAGUGAUAAAUGCCCUGCUUCCAGGAAAAGCCUCUAAGCAUCAGGUAACACGAAAUCGUACCCCAAACCGACACAGGUGGUCAGGUAGAGAAUACCAAGGCGCUUGAGAGAACUCGGGUGAAGGAACUAGGCAAAAUGGUGCCGUAACUUCGGGAGAAGGCACGCUGAUAUGUAGGUGAAGCCCCUGCGGGCGGAGCUGAAAUCAGUCGAAGAUACCAGCUGGCUGCAACUGUUUAUUAAAAACACAGCACUGUGCAAACACGAAAGUGGACGUAUACGGUGUGACGCCUGCCCGGUGCCGGAAGGUUAAUUGAUGGGGUUAGCGGCAACGCGAAGCUCUUGAUCGAAGCCCCGGUAAACGGCGGCCGUAACUAUAACGGUCCUAAGGUAGCGAAAUUCCUUGUCGGGUAAGUUCCGACCUGCACGAAUGGCGUAAUGAUGGCCAGGCUGUCUCCACCCGAGACUCAGUGAAAUUGAACUCGCUGUGAAGAUGCAGUGUACCCGCGGCAAGACGGAAAGACCCCGUGAACCUUUACUAUAGCUUGACACUGAACACUGGUCCUUGAUGUGUAGGAUAGGUGGGAGGCUUUGAAGCGUGGACGCCAGUCUGCGUGGAGCCGCCCUUGAAAUACCACCCUUUAAUGGCUGGUGUUCUAACGUAGACCCGUGAUCCGGGUUGCGGACAGUGUCUGGUGGGUAGUUUGACUGGGGCGGUCUCCUCCCAAAGAGUAACGGAGGAGCACGAAGGUUGGCUAAUCCUGGUCGGACAUCAGGAGGUUAGUGCAAUGGCAUAAGCCAGCUUGACUGCGAGCGUGACGGCGCGAGCAGGUGCGAAAGCAGGUCAUAGUGAUCCGGUGGUUCUGAAUGGAAGGGCCAUCGCUCAACGGAUAAAAGGUACUCCGGGGAUAACAGGCUGAUACCGCCCAAGAGUUCAUAUCGACGGCGGUGUUUGGCACCUCGAUGUCGGCUCAUCACAUCCUGGGGCUGAAGUAGGUCCCAAGGGUAUGGCUGUUCGCCAUUUAAAGUGGUACGCGAGCUGGGUUUAGAACGUCGUGAGACAGUUCGGUCCCUAUCUGCCGUGGGCGCUGGAGAAUUGAGGGGGGCUGCUCCUAGUACGAGAGGACCGGAGUGGACGCAUCACUGGUGUUCGGGUUGUCAUGCCAAUGGCACUGCCCGGUAGCUAAAUGCGGAAGAGAUAAGUGCUGAAAGCAUCUAAGCACGAAACUUGCCCCGAGAUGAGUUCUCCCUGAGACCUUGAGUCUCCUGAAGGAACGUUGAAGACGACGACGUUGAUAGGUCGGGUGUGUAAGCGCAGCGAUGCGUUGAGCUAACCGAUACUAAUGAACCGUGAGGCUUAACCUU
rnacentral:rRNA from 1 species